UACGUAGGGGGCGAGCGUUGUCCGAAGUUACUGGGCGUAAAGCGCGCGUAGGCGGGGGAUUAAGUGAGAGGUGAAAGGCUGGGGCUCAACCCCAUGCAGUGCCUCUCAUACUGGUCUUCUUGAGGGCGGUAGGGAGAAGUGGAAUGGCUGGUGUAGCGGUGAAAUGCGUAGAUAUCAGUCGGAACACCGGUGGCGAAGGCGGGUCUCUGGGCCGAUACUGACGCUGAGGAGCGAAAGCGUGGGGAGCGAACAGG
rnacentral:rRNA from 1 species